UACGUAGGGUGCGAGCGUUAAUCGGAAUUACUGGGCGUAAAGCGUGCGCAGGCGGCUUCGCAAGUCAGGCGUGAAAUCCCCGGGCUUAACCUGGGAAUGGCGUCUGAAACUACGGAGCUGGAGUGUGGCAGAGGGAGGUAGAAUUCCACGUGUAGCGGUGAAAUGCGUAGAUAUCAGGAAGAACACCCGUGGCGAAGGCGGCUUUCUGGGACGGUACUGACGCUGAGACGCGAAAGCGUGGGGAGCGAACAGG
rnacentral:rRNA from 1 species